rnacentral:rRNA from 1 species
AUUGAACGCUGGCGGCAUGCCUUACACAUGCAAGUCGAACGGCAGCACGGGAGCAAUCCUGGUGGCGAGUGGCGAACGGGUGAGUAAUGCAUCGGAACGUACCCGGAAGUGGGGGAUAACGUAGCGAAAGUUACGCUAAUACCGCAUAUUCUGUGAGCAGGAAAGAGGGGGAUCGCAAGACCUCUCGCUUUCGGAGCGGCCGAUGUCGGAUUAGCUAGUUGGCGGGGUAAAGGCCCACCAAGGCGACGAUCCGUAGCGGGUCUGAGAGGAUGAUCCGCCACACUGGGACUGAGACACGGCCCAGACUCCUACGGGAGGCAGCAGUGGGGAAUUUUGGACAAUGGGCGCAAGCCUGAUCCAGCCAUGCCGCGUGAGUGAAGAAGGCCUUCGGGUUGUAAAGCUCUUUCGGCUGGGAAGAAAUCGCAUCUCCUAAUACGGGGUGUGGAUGACGGUACCAGCAUAAGAAGCACCGGCUAACUACGUGCCAGCAGCCGCCGUAAUAC